UUUCGGCUCGCCGACACUCUCCUCAAAUUACCUUGCAACAAUCUAGCAUGGCAAUACGGAUGCUUAAGGUGGAAGUGGUCUCGUUGUCAAAAUUUCAAGGGACUUGCAUAGAAAUACAUGCAUGUUUCAUCUCCUUCUUAGUUUUCCCUUUUCUUUCCUUUUUUCCCCCCUUCUAAUUUGCAAGUUUUCUUUUCUUCUCUGAUGAUCAAACAUUCAAACAACCUGCAACAAAUAGCAUUGAACCUUCGCAGA
rnacentral:misc_RNA from 1 species